rnacentral:rRNA from 1 species
AGAACGAACGCUGGCGGCAUGCCUAACACAUGCAAGUCGAACGAGGCCUUCGGGUCUAGUGGCGCACGGGUGCGUAACGCGUGGGAAUCUGCCCUUGGGUUCGGAAUAACAGCGAGAAAUUGCUGCUAAUACCGGAUGAUGACGUAAGUCCAAAGAUUUAUCGCCCAAGGAUGAGCCCGCGUAGGAUUAGCUUGUUGGUGAGGUAAGAGCUCACCAAGGCGACGAUCCUUAGCUGGUCUGAGAGGAUGAUCAGCCACACUGGGACUGAGACACGGCCCAGACUCCUACGGGAGGCAGCAGUGGGGAAUAUUGGACAAUGGGCGAAAGCCUGAUCCAGCAAUGCCGCGUGAGUGAUGAAGGCCUUAGGGUUGUAAAGCUCUUUACCCGGAUGAUAAUGACAGUACCGGAGAAUAAGCUCCGGCUAACUCCGUGCCAAGCGACGCCGUAGUAACUCGUAGACGGCGGCGUCGACGAACGGCA